UUUGAGAUUAAGGUUUAGUUGUUGUUAUUUUUAUUUUUGUAAAAACACAAAUAUAAGAGGGAAGGAUAGCUGUAUAAAAAUCCUUCUGUGCUUCCAAAUGUUGAGUACACUCUAGGUUUAUGUAAUUUAUGCUUUGUUAUUUGUUGCAGAAAGGGAAAUUGUGGACUUUAAUCCUUUUAGUUUUAUAGCUGUUAGUAAUGAAAUAAAACAUAUAUUGUGUUAUCUGAUAGAUAUUUUAAAUUUAAACUCCCCUAACCCAGGGAAAAUAAACCUGUUUGUUUUACCUUAUUUACACCAUUGUCUCUACAUGAAUGGGUGAUAAGGCAUCCCUCUCUUUUUUAGCCAUAUAUUUGGCAUAUUAAAAUUUUGUAUUAGUAAGUCAGCUUGAGGACAUCCCUGACUGUGAAAAAAAAAAA
rnacentral:misc_RNA from 1 species